UUGGAGGGGAAACUGAGGCCCAGGAAGCUUGAGUAAACUCGCAAGUGUCCACUCUAAGAAGAGGAGGAGCCACGAUUCGACUCCAUGUCUGCCUCAAGGCACCGCCCAUGAGACAGGAGCCUGGGUGGGAAGGACAAAAGGGACCCUGUUGAGCAGAUUCUGACUCAUGCGUUGGCUGUGAGCUUGAGGAAGUCAUGACAUUCUCUAUAGAAGGGAACUGGAGCGCUCCCUCAACUCAGCGCAGAUAACAUUCUGAUAACAGGAGCUUCAAGAUCACUGGAAACAAAGCACUGCUGUUCACUUGUGCGGUCUGGCCCUUGCAGGAUGGUGCUGGAGGCCGCAUCUGGGCUUCCAGCCAGCGGGGGAAUGUAGGGAAAAGAGGACGUUUCUUCUUCUCAUAAACAAUCAACCCAUCGACAAGCCGGCGGCCCUCUUAACCUGAACUCCCUGUGUUAACCGAAAGCCAGGAGGACUUUGACCAUGCAGGCUCCGUUGCAUAACUCGUUUCAAUGGGCUAUUGUUUUCCUGACUGGAUGUUUUCCAUGAUGGAAAUGAUUCGUGUGCCAUGCUGGGCAGGAGAUCAUAUGUAAAUGCUUCCUGGGUUUGAUCUCCAUACGGGGCAUGAAUUAACGCUUGCGCGAAGGCACAGAGUAGGUAGUAAAUGGAUUU
rnacentral:lncRNA from 1 species